UACAGAGGGUGCGAGCGUUGUCCGGAAUCACUGGGCGUAAAGGGCGCGUAGGUGGCGAGCCAAGUCCAUGGUGAAAGCUCGAUGCUCAACAUCGAGUCGGCCACGGAUACUGGUGCGCUUGAGCACUGUAGAGGCUAAUGGAAUUCCGGGUGUAGCGGUGGAAUGCGUAGAGAUCCGGAAGAACACCGGUGGCGAAGGCGGUUAGCUGGGCAGUUGCUGACACUGAGGCGCGACAGCGUGGGGGAGCAAACAGGGAU
rnacentral:rRNA from 1 species